GACGAACGCUGGCGGCGUGCUUAACACAUGCAAGUCGAACGAAGUGGCGAACGGGUGAGUAACGCGUAAUCAACCUGCCCUUCAGAGGGGGAUAACGUCCGGAAACGGGCGCUAAUACCGCAUACUAUCAGAUGAGCCUAGGUCGGAUUAGCUAGUUGGUGGGGUAAAGGCCUACCAAGGCGACGAUCCGUAACUGGUCUGAGAGGAUGAUCAGUAACACUGGAACUGAGACACGGUCCAGACUCCUACGGGAGGCAGCAGGGGGGAAGCUUCCGCAAUGGACGAAAGUCUGACGGAGCAACGCCGCGUGAGUGAUGACGGCCUUCGGGUUGUAAAGCUCUGUUAAUCGGGACGCGGUACCGGAAUAGAAAGCCACGGCUAACUACGUGCCAGCAGCCGCGGUAAUUC
rnacentral:rRNA from 1 species